rnacentral:rRNA from 1 species
UACAGAGGGUGCGAGCGUUGUUCGGAAUUAUUGGGCGUAAAGGGCGCGUAGGCGGUGCGGUAAGUCACCUGUGAAACCUCUGGGCUUAACUCAGAGCCUGCAGGCGAAACUACCGUGCUGGAGUGUGGGAGAGGUGCGUGGAAUUCCCGGUGUAGCGGUGAAAUGUGUAGAUAUCGGGAGGAACACCUGUGGCGAAAGCGGCGCACUGGACCACAACUGACGCUGAGGCGCGAAAGCUAGGGGAGCAAACAGG